rnacentral:tRNA from 1 species
UGUGCCGGACGGCCGGCCCGGGGCCGUCGCAUGGGCUCCGGGCCGGUGGCGGCCGCGACUCGGGGACGCGGCCGGCCGCUCAGGUCCGUCCGGUGCACC